CCCCCACCAAAUAUUAUAUGAUGUUUAAGUGUUGAUGUUGGACAUGGAAGACAAUGUAACGAUCAUCAUAGUUUACAUUCACAUAGAACUUAUUUUGUCAUGGAUCCCCUAACAUGGGGUGCUCGAUUUAGAUAUUCUGCUAGCCAAAAAAUUCCGCACUAAGUAGAGAUACUACUUGUGCAUCCAUAACCUUUAAACCGAGUUUCUUGCCAUGAGAGUCCAC
rnacentral:lncRNA from 1 species